rnacentral:rRNA from 1 species
AGAGCGAACGCUGGCGGCGUGCCUAAUACAUGCAAGUCGAGCGGUAAGGCCUCUUCGGAGGUACACGAGCGGCGGACGGCUGAGUAACACGUAGGAACGUACCCCAAAGUGAGGCAUAAGCACCAGAAAUGGUGUCUAAUACCGCAUGUGGCCCACGGGCUAAAGCUCCGGCGCUUUGGGAACGGCCUGCGCAUGAUUAGCUUGUUGGUGAGGUAAAAGCUCACCAAGGCAGUGAUCAUUAGCUGGUCUGAGAGGAUGACCAGCCAGACUGGGACUGAGAACGGCCCAGACUCCUACGGGAGGCAGCAGUAGGGAAUUUUCCACAAUGGGCGAAAGCCUGAUGGAGCAACGCCGCGUGCAGGAUGAAGGCUCUAGGGUCGUAAACUGCUUUUAUCUGUGACGAAUAUGACGGUAGCAGAUGAAUAAGGAUCGGGCUAACUCCGUGCCAGCAGCCGC